rnacentral:piRNA from 1 species
UAUGGUGAACUAGGUUUCAAUUAUCACAGU